rnacentral:piRNA from 1 species
GAGGCUGAAGAAAUCGAAUUGGUG